UACGGGGGGGGGCAAGCGUUGUCCGGAAUUAUUGGGCGUAAAGAGCUCGUAGGCGGCUUUGUCGCGUCGGCUGUGAAAACUCGGGGCUCAACCCCGAGCCUGCAGUCGAUACGGGCAGACUAGAGUGCUGUAGGGGAGACUGGAAUUCCUGGUGUAGCGGUGAAAUGCGCAGAUAUCAGGAGGAACACCGGUGGCGAAGGCGGGUCUCUGGGCCGAUACUGACGCUGAGGAGCGAAGGCGUGGGGAGCGAACGGG
rnacentral:rRNA from 1 species